rnacentral:lncRNA from 1 species
GCUCCGCCUCCCACCACCGUCAAAUUGUAAAUAUUUCCUUCACUCUCCGUUUAUCGCCGGAAAUCUCUCGAUUUCCGUUUUGUUAUAAUCUAUCUGCUUCACCUUUUCUGACGGUUGCCGGUUGCUAUGGCGGCGAAUACACAGAGAAAAGAAUCGGAUCGGAUUAAAGGUCCAUGGAGUCCUGAAGAGGACGAGCUAUUGCAGAGUCUAGUGGAGAAACAUGGGCCCAGAAACUGGUCUUUAAUAAGCAAAUCGGUUCCGGGUCGAUCCGGGAAAUCCUGCCGGCUCCGAUGGUGUAACCAGCUUUCCCCUCAAGUGGAGCACCGUGCUUUCACUUCAGAGGAGGAUGAAACCAUAAUCAGGGCCCACGCUAAAUUCGGUAAUAAAUGGGCUACUAUUGCCCGUUUACUAUCGGGUCGGACUGAUAAUGCUAUUAAGAACCACUGGAACUCUACUCUUAAACGUAAGUGUUGUUCCAUGUCUGAAGAUUUAAGCUUUGAAACUCCUCAACAGCCUUUGAAAAGAUCGUCUAGUGUAGGUCCUAGUACCAACUUUUCUUCUGGUAUGAAUCCGGGUAGUCCUUCCGGAUCCGACUUGAGUGAUUCGAGUCUUUCGGGGUUUCCCCAGUCUCUUGUUUAUAGACCUGUACCGCGAACCGGCGGGAUUUUCCCUCUUCCUCCUCUAGUUCAACCGAUCGAAACUGCUCCAUUUAUACCCGACCCACCCACUUCUCUUUGCCUCUCACUACCCGGAUCCGGCACCCGUGAAACCUCGAUUCAGACUGCACAACCAACCCAGCUAACUCAGCCUCCUCAAUCACCACCACCUCCUCCUUUGGCUUUGCCGCCGGUUGAUAAACCCGUACCACCACCAACAGCUGUUUUCAUGUCUCAGCUUCCUCAAACU